AACGAACGCUGGCGGCAGGCCUAACACAUGCAAGUCGAGCGAUUCUCUUCGGGGAAGAGCGGCGGACGGGUGAGUAACGCGUGGGUAACCUGCCCUGUACACACGGAUAACAUACCGAAAGGUAUGCUAAUACGAGAUAAUAUGCUUUUAUCGCAUGGUAGAAGUAUCAAAGCCUUUGCGGUACAGGAUGGACCCGCGUCUGAUUAGCUAGUUGGUAAGGUAACGGCUACCAAGGCGACGAUCAUUAGCCGACCUGAGAGGGUGAUCGGCCACAUUGGAACUGAUACACGUUCCAAACUCCUACGGGAGGCAGCAGUGGGGAAUAUUGCACAAUGGGCGAAAGCCUGAUGCAGCAACGCCGCGUGAGCGAUGAAGGCCUUCGGGUCGUAAAGCUCUGUCCUCAAGGAAGAUAAUGACGGUACUUGAGGAGGAAGCCCCGGCUAACUACGUGCCAGCCGCCGCAGUAAGAC
rnacentral:rRNA from 1 species